rnacentral:tRNA from 1 species
GACACAGUGGUGCAAUUGGUAGCACAGUCGCCUCAAAGCAAGAAGGUUGCUGGUUCGAGACCCGUCUGGGUCA